GGCAAGGCGCGGUUUCCAUUCAUCCGCUGCCCCGCGCUUUCAGGUCCUGCAGGGCGCCUCACUGCCUUUAGUGACUGGAGGCGGUCCGGGUGGACAGACUUUACAGAAAGCCACAUUCCGUCUAGGUGCCAAAUACUGCGUGUCAAACAGUCCCAAUCCCUCAGUGAGUCGGGGAGAUGAGAAACAAAGGCUUGGGGGAGUCCAGUCGUCUGAGGUCACACUGCUGGAAUGAGUCUUUUUGACAGCAGCCUCUUCAAAUCAGGCUGACAUUAGAAAAACAGUGCUAGAAGAGGCGGGAGGAGGAGGUGAGGAGGAGGAAGAGGAAAAAAGGGUGAGGAGGAGGAGUUUCCUUCAACUUGACAGAAGGGAAAAGUUUAAAGAAAUCUUUUUAUCCAGGAAGUUUGGGAGCAGAUGCAUGGAGAGAACAUGUGAAGACACAGAAGAAACUGAUGUCUGCAAUCCAGAGGGAGAGACCUGGAACAGAUCCCUCCAUCAAGAGCCUCAGAAUAGCCAGUCUUGUAGGCACCUUCAUCUUAGGCUUCCACAUUCAGAGCUGCAAGAAUAAAAUAUCUAUUUUUUAAGUUUGG